rnacentral:lncRNA from 1 species
UCUAGGAGCUGUCAGAUUAAACCCCCAGACCCACAAGAAAAUCCCUGAAGCUUCGUUGACUUUUGCUGAUGGAGCCUCUCUGAAGGGCAAAUUCAAAGUACAGCUGGGUGCUGCAGCACUGGAGUGCGAACUUGUGGCUGUGGUUAUGAAGGAGCCUCGUCAGCUAUGCCUUUAGCCCCUGGUGAAGCAGUGCCAGUCACACUUUGCCAGUCAAACGGAGAGGCAGCAGUAGUAAGACCAGACCAAAUCAAACCAAACCAAGCAAACCACGGGGAAUGGAGGUCAUGUGAGCACACAGCAUAAAGGCAGCUGCCCACAAGCCAGGAAGAGAAGCAUCAUCAGAAACCGACCAUACUGGCUUCCUGAUCUCAGACUUUCAGCCUCCAGAAUGGAUAUAUUUGGCAUUAAACUCGGGACAAAAGAAGACACAAACUUUAUCUUGUGGUUUGGGUCCUCCAAUCCUCAUAAAAGUGUGGUUUCACCUGUUACCUCAUAAAGGUGCCAUUGCUGUAUGCACAUCUGAAUCUGUUUACAAUUUGAGAAUAGAGAUUAUUGCCUGCUCCUCCAAGCCCUUCACUGUAGAAUGGAAGCCUGUGAUUUUCCUGGCAUCAUGCAUGACUGAGAAGGUCAGUGUGGCUAAUUCUGAGCUUCAACAUCAGGAAACCCGUAGUUCUUCACACUGAGCCGCCUCCUGCAGCACAGUCAUCCUUGGUAAUAAAGCUGAUAUUUUAAUCAA